rnacentral:lncRNA from 1 species
UUACUUCCACCCGUCCAGCUGGGCAGCUGGUCGUUUCCUCUCCCUCUCAGCGGCGGGCUGAGCUCCCCCGCGCCGGACCCCUGGGCCCCGGCCGCCGGAGGAGGUCGGCUCCUUGCUACGCUCGCCGCCGCCGGCGAAAGGCCACGGUGAGAACUCGCGCUCCAAGCUGAGACCUUGAGCAUCGGGCAAGAUGAGCCGGGGCGUUUAUCGCUUGAACUAUGCUAAGAAAAAAAAACAGAGAGAGAUUGGUUUCGGCUAGAUUAGGUUUCUGCCAUUCUGCAUCAUGGACAAUCAGAUCGGGCAGAAAGUAAGCCUGCACAGUGACCCCUGGUUUCCUAACAAUUGAACACUGGAAAUGGUUUCGCUGUCAAUACAGCCAACUAUUUCAUCAUGUGCAAAUGGUGAAGAGAAAAGUAUCAUUCCAGGACAAAAUGAUUCAACAACACCUAAGAUAUCUGAUUUGGAGAGCACGGGCGUUUUUUUUUCGCUUAAAAUUUUCGUAUCAAUGUUGCCAUAUUCAUGUCAUGCAAAGUAGCACAUUCGUGCCAAAUCGCCGUGUCACGGGAAUUGAAAACAUUCCCAGCUUCAUCUGCAUCAGCCACUCCAUGAGCGAUGCAUGCUGUGAUCUGACUCAGCCGGGAAUCAGAGCGGCCGUGCCUGGGCAUGUUUUACAUUAAGAUGGGGAAUCAGAUAUUGGAGUGAAACCUGCAGAACACUAUUCUCCUUAACCUUGGUCCCUGACAGAAAGGUCUCUCAGGUUUGCACUCAUCAGGCUCUUGGCGUCUCCCUUUUGGGAAAGAACUGAGAAUCAGGACAAAGUGGGAGAUAUCGAAUUAUAGAUCAGUGCCCUAGGUAGCUAUAACUCUGCUUUGCAAUGUUCUUUGUGCUCCAUAAUUCCAGUGUCCCUGCAUUAUUACAUUGCCUUGCUCUCUUUUCUGACCUUUUGGCAUGCGGACAGGUGAAGGCAAUGUUCCAGUCUCGGAACCAAUUCCUUGCUCAAUCUUGAUCAGCAAGCGCCAUGAACAGUCUGAUAGAGAGUUCAACACGAAGGUCGAUCCAGGGGAAGAUCAGAUGCUGGAGCAAAGCGGACAUAAGAGGUCCGUGUUUUUCAUAGUGGGUAGUUCAGAAUUCCUUCAUUCAGUUCUGUACUUGGACACUGAACUUUAGUACUACCAUCUACUAGUUCCUGGCAAAAGGAUAUUACAAAUUGUAUCAGCAUUUCUAACUGAUAUCAGAAAUAAAGAAAUCUCCCUAUGUUCGAAUUACUCUUUGCAAAAGGGAUAAUUCC